ACAAGUGGGGGAGACUAGCAAACCCUGCCUGAGCAGCCUUAGGCCUUGACCACAGAGUCUCCACGGAAGCAACAGCCACAGAGCGGUAGCCGUGGCGCCAAGGGGUGUGUGGGACCAGGCUGGCAGAGAAUGGGGUGAAACGGAGGGUCAGGUCUGCUGCCAAGCUCCCAGCAGGCUCUGGCUCAGCUCCAGCUCUGCACGCAGUAGCGCAGUAGCGUCUUGAACAGCCAAAAAUGGCUGCAGCUCUGACCCUCGGGGGAACCAGGACUUAGGAGAGCAGGGACCCAGAGCACCUCUGAGAACAGAACCAGCUUCUGGAAGGGUCUUGCAUGAUUCUGCAUAACAGUGGAAGGCCCGUCCUCUAACAUCUGAGGCCUCAGGCUACAUGGGCACAAAACCAGAGCUGCAGAGUCCUCAUCAGGCUUCUUGUGCCCACCAGCCUCUAGAGCAGUGGUUCUCACCCUUCCUAAUGCUGCGACCCUUUAGCACAGUUCCUGGUGGUGUGCUGACCCCCAACCAUAAAAUUAUUUUCCUUGCUA